rnacentral:lncRNA from 1 species
AAAUUUCUAUUACAAAAGACAUUAAACUACUCAUUUUCUUGGAAUAUAAAAGUAUGAACAGACUCAAAAUAAACCGAAAUACAAACUCGAGAAAACAAAUCAGGAAUAUAUGAAGUCUUCGACUCCUGGGGCUCGUGGGACAUCAUUUGGUCUCGCCAAGGGCCUACGUGCGAGAUCCCCUUGAAGAAGUUCCAAAUCAAUCUCUAUCUGGCGGAUGAAUGUCAUUAAUGCAGCGAAGAAAGUGGUUUGAGUCAUGUCUUCACAUUCGUGGAAUUUCGUGAUGAUGUAUUCGGCAAUGGCUCUAACCCUCUCUUGGAAAACACCCUUUUCCUGAAGCAAAUGCUCGAUUUACUGAUUCCGGGCAUCUAGCGCUUGAGUGUUAUGUUGCCUUUGAUUUUGCAACGGUUGCAUAUCUUCCUCCAUCUGGGCCAUCAAAGCAUAACAAUGUUGUCUAUCGGCUUUGAAGUUCCUAGCCUAUUUGUCCACCUCAUUUUCAAGGGUAGUUAUUUUUCUCUUCAGAUUGGCGAUUGUCCCCUCAUAUUUUCUUUUCAUUUGUCGCACAAAUUGUGCCUGCCCUUCUGCAUUUUUUGCAAAUUGGGCUUGAAUCUUUGCUAGACGGCCUCAGAUUUUUCUAGGUCAUCCUGACACUCGAGUAUUUUCUUUCUCAAUCUACAUAUAAGCCUUUCAUCCGCACGGCUCCUUUCCAAGUUUCUAGCUGCUAUUCUCAUUUUCUGAAUUUGAGCUUUGAGGGCUUCAUUUUCAUGAGUUAGCUUUUUCUUUUCC